GCCCGGUAGAUGAAUGGGGAAGCUCAUUAUUGGAGAAGUACAGAUGGUUGAGGGAGUUCAGAAAGACAUCACACAAGGUCGGAAGUCGGAAAAGUCUUGGAAGGGUCGGUCUUUUGCAAACUUCGACUGGGGAUAUUUUAUACCCAACACUCCUGAAAGGCAGAAAGUCAUUGAUGAAAAAAUCGACAAACUCCUCGUAGCUGGCUUCAUCAAAGA
rnacentral:lncRNA from 1 species